UACGGGGGGGGGCAAGCGUUGUUCGGAAUUACUGGGCGUAAAAGGGCUCGUAGGCGGCCAACUAAGUCAGACGUGAAAUCCCCUCGGCUUAACCGGGGAACUGCGUCUGAUACUGGAUGGCUUGAGUUCGGGAGAGGGAUGCGGAAUUCCAGGUGUAGCGGUGAAAUGCGUAGAUAUCUGGAGGAACACCGGUGGCGAAGGCGGCAUCCUGGACCGACACUGACGCUGAGGAGCGAAAGCCAGGGAGCAAAGCAGG
rnacentral:rRNA from 1 species